rnacentral:tRNA from 1 species
GGGCGAUUAGUUAAGUGGCAUAACGUUCGUCUCCAAAACGAACAUCGGGGGUCCGAUUCCCUCAUCGCCCG